rnacentral:misc_RNA from 1 species
GCAAACUUGGUCAUUUAGAGGAAGUAAAAGUCGUAACAAGGUUUCCGUAGGUGAACCUGCGGAAGGAUCAUUAUCGAGUCUUGAACUGGGUUGUAGCUGGCCUUCCGAGGCAUGUGCACGCCCUACUCAUCCACUCUACACCUGUGCACUUACUGUGGGCUUCAGAUCGUGAAACGAGGGUCCUAUUACCGGGGCUUUCGCGAAGCGGUUUGUGCCUGCGUUUACUACAAACACUAUAAAGUAUUAGAAUGUGUAUUGCGAUAUAACGCAUCUAUAUACAACUUUCAGCAACGGAUCUCUUGGCUCUCGCAUCGAUGAAGAACGCAGC